CUCAACACAGACCCGGAUUGCAUCGUGAGGGCGAGCUGAGUUCUCCUCUGCACAGACUUCAGAGAUACAGCGAAGGCGGAGCAGUGUUCUCCUCAGCACAGACCCGGGCGGACGGGUGGGCCGGGGGCACCGCAAGGGCGGAGCUGCGUUCUGCUCAGCACAGACCCGGGGGACACAGCGAAGGCAGAGCAGCGUUCUCCUCAGCACAGACCUUGGGAACACUGCAUCGCUUUGGGCAGAAUAGAUUACUGAUUUUGGGCACUCCAAGAUUUUGGGAGAGACCUCUCUCAUGAGAACUUUAUGUGGAACCCCCACCUGCUUGGCUCCUGAAGUUCUUGUUUCUGUUGGGACUGCUGGGUAUAACCGUGCUGUGGACUGCUGGAGUUUAGGAGUUAUUCUUUUUAUCUGCCUUAGUGGGUAUCCACCUUUCUCUGAGCACAGGACUCAAGUGUCACUGAAGGACCAGAUCACCAGUGGAAAACACAACUUCAUUCCUAAAGUCUGGGCAGAAGUCUCAGAGAAAGCUCUGGACCUUGUCAAGAAGUUGUUGGUAGUGGAUCCAAAGGCAUGUUUUACAACAGAAGAAGCCUUAAGACACUGUGGCUUCAGGGGCAGCAGGUGGAGAGCGGUCCUGGAAGGAUUUGAGGAGCUGCACGGAGUGAGACCCAGCCCCUGGCCCCCUGAUUGUCACCUUUCUCAGGAUCUGGGAUGCUAAUUCAGAAACUCUUGACUGCUGGAGGCUGUGAUUGACCCACUGAGAGCUUUUAGGCAUGUGGAUGUGACUCAGCCAGGAUCGAUGGAGCAUUGACUGCUGAUUGGACUCCUGUGGGAAGGAUGAAGACAUGAAGAGAAAGUUUCAAGAUCUUCUGUGUGAGGAAAAUGAAUCCACAGCUCUACUCCAGGUUCUAGCCCAGCCUUCUACUAGUCGAAAGUGGCCUCAUGAAGGGGAAGCCGAGGGUGCCGAGACCACAAAGUGCCCGGCUGUGUGUGCUGCUGUGUUGUGAACUCCGUGGUUUGAACAUGAAAGAAAUGUACCUUCUUUCACUCUGUCAUCUUUCUUUUCUUUGAGUCUGUUUUUUAUAGUGUGUAUUUUAAUUAUGGAAAUAAUUGCUUUUUCACAGUCACUGAUGUACAAUUAAAAACCUGAUGGAACCUGG